rnacentral:rRNA from 1 species
GACACAGGUGCUGCAUGGCUGUCGUCAGCUCGUGUCGUGAGAUGUUGGGUUAAGUCCCGCAACGAGCGCAACCCUUAUCAUUAGUUGCUACGCAAGGGCACUCUAAUGAGACUGCCGGUGACAAACCGGAGGAAGGUGGGGAUGACGUCAAGUCCUCAUGGCCCUUAUGGGUAGGGCUUCACACGUCAUACAAUGGUCGGUACAGAGGGUUGCCAAGCCGCGAGGUGGAGCCAAUCCCAGAAAGCCGAUCGUAGUCCGGAUUGUUCUCUGCAACUCGAGAGCAUGAAGUCGGAAUCGCUAGUAAUCGCGGAUCAGCAUGUCGCGGUGAAUACGUUCCCGGGUCUUGGACACACCG